GGUAGCUUGUAAAGAAAACAAAGAAAGUUGUUGCUGAGUAGCGGUAAAUCGUCACCCAGGAUCUCAACUAGUACUAUUCUUCUACUUCCAAAGAUGACAAAGUAAAUCGUUUCUGAGCUAGGGAUCGUCGCACAACAAAUCAAUGGGCUUCUUAUCAUCGUGAAUCGAAUGGAUUCCUGAGCUCUGACGAACGAUAGCUGCUACCUGCAAUAGUACGUUUGGUUGACGCGCGGCACUGCGGUAGGCACGAAUAAGAAAGGGGAAUCCUUAAAGGCGGUUCCCACGUAAUCACGCCGAUACUUCGGACCGUGAAACAAUUGAUCGUUGCAGGAUUGUUUUUGCGUCGGCGGAAUGUUUAGGUGGGCGAGGGGAAUCGAUACGCCACACCGUGAUUACUAAUGGGCCUAUGGGGUCUCAUAGUGGCGGUGCCCACUUAGACAAAGCAUCCGUGCAUAAUUCGGAUAAUCGAAUGAAUGGGAUGGAAGCUGCGCAUUUGAUCCUGGCUACUGAAUACGGAUCGGAUAUCGGGCCACAGGGAUCAAUGGAAUGCACGGUGCGUGUUCAGUGCUAAUUGCCCGCGUGCGUUCGCGUUUUUAUCCCGCUGACGCAGUAGUAGCACAUCAAUCAGUGCCGACUAAUCUCGCAAUAAGAAAACGAGAUGAUCUCAUGCGUGGGUUAUGUGCAAAUAUCAUCUGGCAUAAACAAUUCUUGAAAGCAAAAACAGAUAGAAAAAAAAUGCAAAAAUUUUGCAGACACGCUAAUGGUAUGAAAUGUACAUUAUUAAAUAUCAAGAAAAUUAUCAUAAAGUAUAAAAGAUUAAUUAAAUGAAUCUCCGCACUGUUUAUGACGGUCUAGUGGUAGAGGAGAUAAGAGGGAAGGAAAGAAGAGAAAAAAAAGGAAAAGAAAAAGAGAACAUGAAUAAAAAAACUGAAUCACUGAUCGCAGACAGGAAGUCGCGAUAACUGAACGAUCCUUGCAACUUUAUAACAUUUGACGAACCGGAAAUGCAAUAUGGGCGCACGCCGCCGCGUGUCCACGUUCCGUAAAACGGCAGCCGACGUUUCGCCGUGACAGAAGGAAUGAAUAAAAGAUGGCACGGUCGGCUUAGUCAUUAACGGCUACGUUAGGAAGACGCGUAGGAAUCCACCAGUGGGAAGGAGCAACGUGUUACGGUCGACGAAGAGAUCUGCAUGCACCUUAAGAAAAUUAAUAACGAGCGAUGUAUGCAGAAGCGGCCCCCUGAAAAGUGUGGAAGCGGAGUGGAAAAAGAGAAAUGGGAAAAAAAGAAUAUAUACGUCGCAGGACCAGUGGAAGAAAAUGAACGAACCCUGUAUAAACUCUCUUACGGGAAACGGGGCC